GAUCAUGGCUCAGGACGAACGCUGGCGGCGUGCUUAACGCAUGCAAGUCGAACGGAGCACCCUUGAAUGAGACUUCGGUCAAAGGAAAGGAAUGCUUAGUGGCGGACUGGUGAGUAACGCGUGAGGAACCUGCCUUUCAGAGGGGGACAACAGCUGGAAACGGCUGCUAAUACCGCAUGACGCAUUCGGAUGGCAUCAUCUGAAUGCCAAAGAUUUAUCACUGAAAGA
rnacentral:rRNA from 1 species